AUUAAUUUAGGAGGGCAAAUCCGCUGAAAUUUUAAAAAUUGCUAAAAUAUAAUUAAGCGGAAGAAAAGAAAAUAAAUAUGAUUCCUUUAGUAACAGCGCGUGAAAAAGGAUAAGCUCAAUUUAGAGAAUCCUUCGAUUUUUUUUUGAAAGAAUUGUUGGAAUUGUUUCUUUUUUUUAUAUAAUAUACUCUAUAUGAUAACUGUUCUUUGGAUUAUAUAUUACGUAAUGUGUAUAUACAUCUAUUUUACAGGUACACAAGAACAAGGAUAUUAAAAAAUAUGUAGGAAAUAUAAUGGAAAAUUAUCCCAAAGAGGGUGAAAGGCCCGUACUUGUUUUUAUAUCUACCUUGUGCUUAAAUUAGAGUUAAAAAUAAAGAAUGAGUUGUGUUUUAUGAAUAUGAGACACUAAUAUGUGUGAUACAUUUCACAUAAAGCUAAAUAUGUGUAGGAGACCGAUAGCAAACAAGUACCGUAAGGGAAAGAUGAAAUAGUACUCAGGAAUGAGCAAUUAAAUAGUACCUGAAAUCGUUAAGGUGGAAAGGAUUAAGAGUGUGAAAACGUAAGGAGCUUAUUUAAAAGUAUGUUUACAUGUGUAUGCAUGUUUAUGUAUAAGAGAAAAAGAUUUUUACCUUUUUCUCUUUGGUAUUUUCCUUAUUAUAAUAAACAAAAGUGAAUGAAGGAAAUUUUGAAGAUUGAAGUAAUUUUUUAAAAAGAUUAAAGAAUUAAUUAUAUAUAUAACAAUAAAUUUUUAUUUAUUUUUAUUUAUUUUUAUAUAUAAUUUAUUUUUUUUUUUUUUUUUAAAAAUAUGAAUGAAUGGAAAACACUUUUUUCUGAUUAAAAAGAUUUCUAUUUACUUAGGAAUGAAAAAUAUAUGUGUAAAAAUAGAAAGUAUAUUUAUAUUUUUUGUUUUUACAUGUGUAUAAGUUGUUUAUAAAAAAUACUCUCUUAAACCAACCGUCUUGAAACACGGACCAAGGAGUCUAUCAAAUAUGCAAGUGUAUAUGUUUAUUUGAAACAUGUAAAUAAUUUGUGUACGCGCAUAAAUGUUCCAAAUGUCUGAUAUAUGUAAUAAGCGUGCACACGCAUAUAUAUGUAUGUAUAUAUGUAUGUGUGCGCUUUUUAUAUAUUUUCAUUUUCAUUUGAUUUGUAGAUUUUGUUAUGAGAUUAAAAAAAAAAAAGAAAAAUGGGAAAAGAAAUGAAAAUAAAAAAAUUAAUUUUUUUUUGUUUUUGUUUUUUUUUUCUUUUACUUUUUGUAUAUUUUUUCUUUUUUUUAUUUUUCAUUGCAAUGCAUACAAAUUACUUAUUAAAAAGCAGAAAAAUUAAAAUAAAAAUUUAUCAUGUUAAGAAAUAUUUAUUUUUUUUUUGUUUCUUUUCUAAUUUUUUUUUUUUUUUUUUUUUCUAUUAUGCUUUUAAAUGAGUAAAGAGUAUAUUUGAUAGGACCCGAAGGGCUUUGUACUUAUACAUGUAAUAAAAUUAUUAGAGAUAUAUGAGAGUCUUUUUAUAUGGAUAAAAAAGUGUUAUUCUUAAAUAUUUAUCAUUAAUUUUUAGUGAAUAAAAAAAUAUUUAAGAAUCCUUUUUUUUUUCCAAUAUUACAUUGUAGGGAAUAUAAAAAAUGAAAAGCCUUAUAUUAGCUGGUUAUUUUCGAAAGAUCUCUCGAGAUCACUGGAGUUGAGUUUGAUAUAUUUUUAUCGUACAAGAUAAAUUAAAAUAUAUAUAUAUAUAUAUAUAUAUAUAUAUAUAUAUAUAUACACAAUGUUGAUAUAAAAGAUCUAAUUGUGAAUUUUUUAAAUUUAUAUUUUAAUUUUUCUGGAUAUUUUGGUAAAAAGUGUAAAUAAAAUAAAUAUAUAUAAGUUGAGUAUAUAUAUUAUUUUAUUUAUAUAAAAAUAAGAUAACUCCAAGUGUACCAUUUUUUAUUAAAAAAAGAAUUGGUAAUGAGGGAUGCUCCUAAUGCUUGGAUAAGGUGCCUAAAUAUUCGCUUAUGAGAUUCUGUUUUAAAAUAAAAGGUGUUGGUUCAUGAUAACAGUAGGACGAUAUUCAUGGAAGUUGAAAUUCGCUAAGGAGUGUGUAAUAACUCACCUACCGAGUGAACUUGCCCUUAUAAUGGAUGGCGCUAAAGUGAAUUACCGAAACCAAGCCAUAAAAAGAGAUGAAAAAGAAAUUUUUUUUUUUUUUAUUUUUUUAUAUAAUCUUUUUAUGAGUAGAAAAUCGUAGGGUUUUUGUGUUGAAGCGAAAAACGUGAGUUUUCGUGGAACAUCUCCCUAGUGCAGAUCUUGGUGGAAGUAGCAAAUAUUUUAAAUGAAAGAACUUUGAAAGACUAAAGUGGAGAAAAGGGUUUCUUGUAUAUAGAUUUAUUAAUUUAAAUUUUCAAGAGUUAGUCGCUUGCUUAUGAGUUUGCUACUUUUUUUUUGUUUUUAUGAUGUUUCUUCGUUUUUUUUUUUUUUGAAGAAAUAAAAAAAAAAGUUUAGCAUAUGUGACAAGGGGGUAUGUGUUAUGAUUGAACUUGUAUCAACCCGUACUCCAUUAUACUAAUGAGAGGGCAUACAUUUAAUCUCUGACACCUGUAAAUUUUCCUCUACUCAAAAUAAAAGUAAACAGGUUAAUAUUCCUGUACGUUCAUAAAGAUUUAAGAGUGAACUGGUAACAACUGUGAACUCCAAUAUAUAGUAGCUACCUUCGGAGUGCGUAUUUUAAAUUAUAUUCCUUUAUAAUUAUUGCACAUGAAAAUAAUAUAUAGCUAGGCCUAUGUCUUAAAUGCAAGAGUCGUAUACUUAGAGUGGCUUAGCACAGCGGUCGGCAUAUUAUUAAAUUGGCAAUUAUAAAAAGAAUGAAUUUAUACAUAUAUAAUUUAUGAGAUCAUAGAUUUUAUUUUAAUAGUAAUUUUCUUGUUCCGUAUUUUAUAUAUGAAAUUCAUUCUUUUUUUUUUGUAUCAAUAGUAAUUCUAUUAAAUUUUAGGAAUUACCCGAAUGCUGUAAGUUACUAUCAAGGAAAUUGUGAGGGAUAUUACUUAUAAGUUUUAAAGAUUUUAUAAUUUAUGUUUAUAACUUUAAUUCAUUAUUUGAGCAAUCUUGGUUUUUAUAACAGCGUACCUAAAAUAACCGCUUGAGGUCUCCAGGGUUAACAGCCUCUAGUUUAUAUAGAUUGUAUAAUAGCAAAGGAAGUCGUCCCCUAUCACUCAAAUGUUAUAUGUAUAUAUAUAUGUAUAUAUAUAUGUAUAUAUAUAUGUAUGUAUAUAUGUAUGUAUAUAUGUAUGUAUAUAUGUAUAUAUAUAUGUAUAUAUAUAUGUAUAUAUAUAUGUAUAUAUAUUUGAGUGCCCGAAAUUCAGGGAAAUGAAUUUGUACUGAGUUAUAUAAUAGGAGUAAAAGUAAAUUAUAGAGAAGAGGCGAAAAAUUAAAGAAAGAACAAGAUUAGAGUUAUUCUUCGGCAUAUUAUGUAAAAUUAUAUAGGUGUGUAUGUGUAUGUACGAGACAGAUAAUACUUUCUACGUAUAUAUAUAUAUAUAUAUAUAUAUAUAUAUAUAUAUAUAUGUAUGAGACGUUUAGAUGUUGUGUAAUAGAUACAUAUGCAUACAUACCUAUAUUUUGCUUUAUACGUAUGCUAAAAGGCUUUCUUCUUUUUUUUAAUUACUUCUUUAAUUUUUAUUUCCCCCCUCUUUUCAAGUUUCAAUAUAUAUAUAUAUAUAUAUAUAUAUAUUGAUAUUAUAUAUUUACUGUUUACCAAUAUACACUCAGUAUGUUAUACCGAUAAUGCUUGGGAGUUUAUAUGGUUUUUCGUCCUUGUGAAUGAAAUAAAAGGUCAUAUAAUAUUUAUAUUAUUGACCUUAUUCUAUAUAUGCAAAUAUAUAUAUUAUAUAUAUGUAUGUUCUAUACGUAUAUAUAUAUAUAUAUAUCCUUGUUAUAUUAUAGCACGAUGGCACAUCCUUCCACGUAUUAGUGUAUCGACAGAGUGAAGCGCUUCUGCUGCGUCCAAAGGGAGGGGUAGUUGUAAUGAAGGUUUAUUAUUAUAUAAUUUUUAUAUUUUUAAUAUUCCUAAUUUCAACAACAGUUAAGCUUUGUCACCUAACAUGUGAGAGGAUUAAUUUUUUUUUUAUACAUAUCCUAUAUAAAAAUUGUAUAAUCCCCACGACAUAUACCUUACUAUUUUAUCUAGCGAAACCACAACCAAGGGAACAGGCUUGGUGAAAUCAGUAGAGAAAGUAAGCUAAUAUUUCUGUUGAAUAAUUUAUUAUUUACCCAAAUUUGUAACUUUGUAAAACUACUUAAGAGGUGUAGCUUUAUAAGUGGGAGUAAUUGAAAAAAAUAUAUAUAAAGAAAAAUGAAGAGAGGUAAAAAAAAAAAAAAAAAGAAUAAGAAGAACAGAGAAUAAAGGAUUAAAGGAGGGGGGGGGAAGGAAAAAAAAAAUGAAAAAAUGAAAAUAAAAUUAGUAUUUAUAUAUUUUUUUUGUUUUUGUUUUUUUUUUUUUUUUUCCUUUUCUUUUUUUUUUUUUUUCCUUCUUUUUUUGUUUUUCUUGUUCUGUUUUUUUUUUUUUUUUUUUCUUCAUUUUUCUUUAUAUAUAUAUAUUUUUGAUUUACACAAUUGAAAUACCACUACUUUUAUGUUACUUUUACUUAUCCAUUGUUAGGAGAAAAUGUAUAAAUAUUAGAUAUAUCAUUCUUAAUGUGUUUCGUUAAAAAUAUUAACAUAUAUAUUCCAUAUAUGUGUUAUUAUUUUACGAAAUGCCUUUUGAAUGUUUUUAAUAUUUAGAUAAAUUUGUUUUAUUAUAUACAUAUAUAUAUAUAUGUUAUAAUAAGACAUUUUUAUCACACAUAUUCCUAUAUAUAUGUAUACAUAUAUAUAUAUAUAUAUAUGUAUGUUGUUCAUAUAUUCGUAUGUGUUACAACUACAUUAUAUAUAUUUAUGUAUGCAUAUUUGUGGAGACAGAGUUUACAGUUUGUGGAGUUUAUUGGAUUAAACUUUUAAGUAUUAAGAAAAAGGGAAUAUUUUUAUUUUGCUUUUUUUUUUUAUUUUAAAAUUAAUCCUUAUUAUUAUUAUUAUAUUUUUUUUUUAUAUAUAUUAUUUUAUAAAUAUAUAUGUUGUAAUUAGAGGAAGAAUAAAUACAAAUAUUCGGAUAGUUGCAAAAUAUAUUUAUUAUAAAUAUAUAUAUAUAAAAAAAAAAAAUAUAUAUAUAUAUAUAUAAAAAUAAAUGUUUUUGGAUAAUAACAACAGGAUAUAUUAGUUAUAUACUUGUGGCUGCCUAGCGAUAUUUUUAGCAACGUAGCUUUUUGAUAUGAGAAUAUUAGCUCUUCCUAUCAUUGAGAAGAAGAAAUCUCAAAGUGUCGGAUUGUUCAGCCGUUAAAAGGGAACGAGAGCUGUAUAAAAAAAAAAUAUAUUUUUUUUUUUUUUAAUAACCAUCACGAGAUAGGUUAGUUUUUUACUCUACUGAAGAAUAUUAAUUAUAUUUAUAUAUUAUAUAUUGUUCCAGUAAUCAAACUAAGUACGAAAGGAAUAGUUUGGUCAGACAGUUAAUUUAGCUUUCGGUUGAAAAACCAACAUUGCAAAAAUUUUAUGUCUGUUGUGAUAAUAGCUGAACGUAUCUUAAGCUAGAAUCCAUUCUGUAUAUACAAUAUAUGCUUAUUUUUCUUUGUCUUGGUAAUUUUUUUUUUUACUGUUAAUGUAAAAAGAGAAAAUAUAUUAUAUUACAAAAGCAUUUUUAUAAAUGUAUUUAUAAAUAUAAAUAAUCCACUUUAUAUUUAAAUAUGUACAUAUAUAUAUGUACAUAUUUAUAAUAUUUAUUAUUUAACAACAAAGAAUAUGAAAGAUGAACUGUAGACGACUUUUUUGCCUCGGAGUGCUGUAACCAUGAAAGUAAACAAUUUUUAGUUUUACAAUUUGCUGAGGCUUAUC